rnacentral:rRNA from 4 species
GAGUGAAAUAGAACCUGAAACCGUGUGCUUACAAGUAGUCAGAGCCCGUUAAUGGGUGAUGGCGUGCCUUUUGUAGAAUGAACCGGCGAGUUACGAUUUGAUGCAAGGUUAAGCAGUAAAUGUGGAGCCGUAGCGAAAGCGAGUCUGAAUAGGGCGUUUAGUAUUUGGUCGUAGACCCGAAACCAGGUGAUCUACCCUUGGUCAGGUUGAAGUUCAGGUAACACUGAAUGGAGGACCGAACCGACUUACGUUGAAAAGUGAGCGGAUGAACUGAGGGUAGCGGAGAAAUUCCAAUCGAACCUGGAGAUAGCUGGUUCUCUCCGAAAUAGCUUUAGGGCUAGCCUCAAGUGAUGAUUAUUGGAGGUAGAGCACUGUUUGGACGAGGGGCCCCUCUCGGGUUACCGAAUUCAGACAAACUCCGAAUGCCAAUUAAUUUAACUUGGGAGUCAGAACAUGGGUGAUAAGGUCCGUGUUCGAAAGGGAAACAGCCCAGACCACCAGCUAAGGUCCCAAAAUAUAUGUUAAGUGGAAAAGGAUGUGGCGUUGCCCAGACAACUAGGAUGUUGGCUUAGAAGCAGCCAUCAUUUAAAGAGUGCGUAAUAGCUCACUAGUCGAGUGACACUGCGCCGAAAAUGUACCGGGGCUAAACAUAUUACCGAAGCUGUGGAUUGUCCUUUGGACAAUGGUAGGAGAGCGUUCUAAGGGCGUUGAAGCAUGAUCGUAAGGACAUGUGGAGCGCUUAGAAGUGAGAAUGCCGGUGUGAGUAGCGAAAGACGGGUGAGAAUCCCGUCCACCGAUUGACUAAGGUUUCCAGAGGAAGGCUCGUCCGCUCUGGGUUAGUCGGGUCCUAAGCUGAGGCCGACAGGCGUAGGCGAUGGAUAACAGGUUGAUAUUCCUGUACCACCUAUAAUCGUUUUAAUCGAUGGGGGGACGCAGUAGGAUAGGCGAAGCGUGCGAUUGGAUUGCACGUCUAAGCAGUAAGGCUGAGUAUUAGGCAAAUCCGGUACUCGUUAAGGCUGAGCUGUGAUGGGGAGAAGACAUUGUGUCUUCGAGUCGUUGAUUUCACACUGCCGAGAAAAGCCUCUAGAUAGAAAAUAGGUGCCCGUACCGCAAACCGACACAGGUAGUCAAGAUGAGAAUUCUAAGGUGAGCGAGCGAACUCUCGUUAAGGAACUCGGCAAAAUGACCCCGUAACUUCGGGAGAAGGGGUGCUCUUUAGGGUUAACGCCCAGAAGAGCCGCAGUGAAUAGGCCCAAGCGACUGUUUAUCAAAAACACAGGUCUCUGCUAAACCGUAAGGUGAUGUAUAGGGGCUGACGCCUGCCCGGUGCUGGAAGGUUAAGAGGAGUGGUUAGCUUCUGCGAAGCUACGAAUCGAAGCCCCAGUAAACGGCGGCCGUAACUAUAACGGUCCUAAGGUAGCGAAAUUCCUUGUCGGGUAAGUUCCGACCCGCACGAAAGGCGUAACGAUUUGGGCACUGUCUCAACGAGAGACUCGGUGAAAUCAUAGUACCUGUGAAGAUGCAGGUUACCCGCGACAGGACGGAAAGACCCCGUGGAGCUUUACUGUAGCCUGAUAUUGAAAUUCGGCACAGCUUGUACAGGAUAGGUAGGAGCCUUUGAAACGUGAGCGCUAGCUUACGUGGAGG